UUGCAUGCCACUGACGAAUACUGGAGACAACGGAGUAUGACAGUCUUCCAGGAACUCCUAACUGUCUUGUGUUAAUGCUUUGCUUGACGUUAGCUAGGCCUUCAGGAACCUAUAAGUCUUCUUUAACAUGUGAAAAGCCUUUCAGGAUCUUCCCAUUGUCUAUCCCCCCCCCCCCCCCCCCAUCUCCGAAGUAUAUAAUCAGUUGCUCCUCACAAUCUCAGUGCAGCCCUUUCUACUCACAGGUCCUGUCCCGGAGCUAUAACAAAAAACACCUGUUUGCACCAAAAACGUCUCGGGAAUUCUUUCUUGGCUGUUGGCUCUGAACCUCAACAUUUCCACAUCAUUUUGGCAUCACAGCUUGAGGCCUGAGAGUUCUCAUCUGGACUGCGAAGCCUUGGUGCAAAUUUGGAAACCCAUGAGCAAAUUAAUGUGCGUUCUAAUUCCUGUGAACCUGUAGAAGAUCUCAAACUCCUCUUCAAACAACAAUGAAGGUUGUAUAUUUUCUUUUUGUUUUCUAUUCAUCUAUCUUAGCUCGUAAUUCCUUUCCACAAUGGGCACAACAUUACGCUAAACUACAAAAUCGAACAACUUGUGGAGUUCUGUCAAGUACAUCUAGGUUACCCUGGUGGGUUUCCCCUAUACAAGGCACCGAUUGGCACUCUCUGUAUAAUUACAUUUCAGAAAUAAUACAUAAUGAUAUCCUGUUUCGUGACCAGUCUAUCACUAAUCAGAAUGUUUUUUCCUGGCCCAUGGUCAAUAGGACAUGCCAUUUACCAGGACAUAACCGGACCUUUUCAUAUCCUCAAACUAUUAAAAUAUUAACUGAAUUUACAAACCCACAAAUUGAUGCCCACCAACGAGUGCCUAAAUUACAAACCCCUACUUAUCGCUAUACUGAGGAUGGCAUGUAUCAGAUUUGGGAUGCAUAUUUAUGGCUCACAGCCACCACUGCACAGCUCAUUCAAAAGGCAGUUUUAUGCUGGGAACAAAGAAAUCAUACAUAUGAUACCUGGGAAAAUAGCACACGCCAUUUAGGAUGGCUAUCAUUAGAAGUAUGUUCUCAAAACAUUGUACUCCAGGCUACUGACUGGUUUGCUACUGAUUGGAGAAGGCGACCUGGAAUCAGAUGGCUAGCUCCAAACGGAACCCACUGGUUAUGUGGGACUAAUCUAUGGCCUUGGCUUCCUCCAGGAUGGAUAGGUCGUUGUACCUUAGGUUUUGCCUGGAUUCACGGUUGCAUUCCCUCAACUAUCAGUACUCCAGCCAAUCUUCCCAAUUUAAAAUAAAGAUGGACAUGAUCUAUUUUUCAUUGGUAUGAUCGUUUGGGAUCCAUUUUUCCUCCACACCUGUAGUAUUAGAAAUUAAUUUGGCAUAAGGAGGUCCCUAAUAAAUACCCAAAUUAGCACUUUAGAUGAUCUCUCUUUUCUUCAGUGAUGGGUUAAGCUCCUGGACUGGAUAAAGAUUUUGGUCAACUAUCAAAGGUCUUUUAUUCAGGCUGCUCUUUCUCAUAAUAAUAACUUUAUUUUAUUAUCUUUUCCAAUGUCUCCCUGCCUGGUGCUGAGACUCCUUCAUUGCCAAAACUUCAAGCCAACAAAUGGUCCUUCUUACUCAAGGAGAUUAAUAUAUGUUGCCCACCUUGGAUUGCCUGACUCUGCCUUUGGUAACUCUUUCUCUCUCUAUAUAUAGAUAUUUAUCCCCAACUGACCAAUGUUCACCCAUAAGUAGGGACAUCUCUACACCCCUAUUCAGCAGGAAGAAGUUACAGAAGCUGAGACCUUCUGCCCUCAACAGCCUUAAAGAUUUAAGGGUCAGAACUGUUCAGUGGGGAAUGAUGUAGAGAACAAAGGCAAAAGGAAAUGUAGAUAAAAUUCGAUUUCCUUCUAACCUGCAGCCCACUGACAAAUAUUUGAGAUUGGCAGAGUAGGACAUUCCUCCAGGAACUCCCAACUGUUUUAAUGUUACUACCUUGCCAGGAGGAAAAGCAACCUUAACAUACAGCAGCUAGGCCUCCAGGAUCCUGUACGUUUUCUCAGCUUUUGGAAACUUCCCAUUGUCCUUACCUCUCCCAUCUACAAAGUAUAUAAUCAGUUGCUCCUCACAAUCCCAGUGCAGCCCUUUCUGCCCACACGCCCUGUCUUGUGCUAUAAUAAAAAACACCUGUUUGCACCAAAAA